UGGUCUCUGAGAAUCGGAAUCGGAGUGAUUUGGGGAGAGAGCUUCUAUCCGUCGUGUCUCAGUACCUUUCUGCAAGCUCCCGACGGCACACGAGGCCAAGCAGAUGUCUCCAUGUGGGAUGGACGACUCAUGACCAAUAUUCUGUGCCACAAGUUUCAGGAACGUUGUGUAGAUCUACCCAUGGCCAGUGCAUAUCGAUUCUCUGAGCUAUACCAGGACCUGCAGAAGCCAGCAACCAAGGGCUGCUCCCGUAGCUGCACAACUCCACAAAAUAUUCAUCAAACUUGGCAAAGGACAACACCCAAGCCAAGGUGAUGGAAAUGAAGGUUUAAAGCCGACUGCGAAAGCCAUCCGUGUCUUAUUCACACCAUGGCAGGCUGCACUCCGCAAUGUCUGUUCUGUUAGCUAUGUCACAAUGCAGUGCACAGGGAUUGCUGGCUCACGGACAUCGGGCAGGCCGCAGCUCAAGAUACUCUCACGUGCCGUACGCCUGCCAUGAAGAAUAUGUCAAUAUCGUGCGGCCCAUGGCAUCAUAAUAAGAAUAUUGCAAUGAUGAGCAUGCAUAUGGGAUAUUAUUUUAUUUUUGAGUACCGUAAAGUACGAAGUAGUGUACCGUAAAGUCUUGUAUAAAAGCCGCACUUGAAAAGAAGCCGCCCUCGAAUAGAAGCCGCAAUUUUGGGCCCAUCAAAUCACACAAAUUGCCUGGUUUUAGUGUUGACAUACAUAGAAAUACCUGUCUCAUAUAGAAGCCUGCAAAAUUUCACCAAGAAAAUCAUAGAAGCCGCGGCUUUUAUACAAAACUUUAUGGUAUAUGCAGUGCUGCCAAGUAUUUUUCGCCCAAAAUCGGACACCCUUCACCGCCAAGGCUGGCCACAUGGUGCGAAUUUUUCUCCUCAGAAUUUUUUUUCCAGAGAAUUCAAAAUAUCGCUCAAAAUACCAUGAAAAUUCGCUUUGUUGCCUUAGUAACCGAUAUGGCACCCCUAAGUUGCCAUGCAUUUUGUAAUGCACUGUGCCAUCCAGGCAUUUUACUUUAGCGCUAGCCUUUUUAUACGCUCAUGUACAUUGAUUUGUGCCUUUAGUUGCGCUGAAAAGUAAAAAUACAGGAUU